UACAGAGGUGGCAAGCGUUGUUCGGAAUUACUGGGCGUAAAGGGCGCGUAGGCGGCUCGAUAAGUCCCGCGUGAAAUCCCCCGGCUCAACUGGGGAACUGCGCGGGAAACUGCCGAGCUUGAGUUCGGGAGAGGGAAGCGGAAUUCCGGGUGUAGCGGUGAAAUGCGUAGAUAUCCGGAGGAACACCGGUGGCGAAGGCGGCUUCCUGGACCGACACUGACGCUGAGGCGCGAAAGCUAGGGGAGCAAACGGG
rnacentral:rRNA from 1 species